UACGUAGGGUGCAAGCGUUGUCCGGAAUUAUUGGGCGUAAAGAGCUCGUAGGCGGUCUGUUGCGUCGGCUGUGAAAACCCGGGGCUCAACCCCGGGCCUGCAGCCGAUACGGGCAGACUAGAGUUCGGCAGGGGAGACUGGAAUUCCUGGUGUAGCGGUGAAAUGCGCAGAUAUCAGGAGGAACACCGGUGGCGAAGGCAGGUCUCUGGGCCAUUACUGACACUGAGAAGCGAAAGCAUGGGGAGCGAACAGG
rnacentral:rRNA from 1 species